UGCAGUCGAGCGGAGUGAUGGUGCUUGCACUAUCACUUAGCGGCGGACGGGUGAGUAAUGCUUAGGAAUCUGCCAUUUAGUGGGGGACAACAUUCCGAAAGGAAUGCUAAUACCGCAUACGUCCUACGGGAGAAAGCAGGGGAUCUUCGGACCUUGCGCUAAAUGAUGAGCCUAAGUCGGAUUAGCUAGUUGGUGGGGUAAAGGCCUACCAAGGCGACGAUCUGUAGCGGGUCUGAGAGGAUGAUCCGCCACACUGGGACUGAGACACGGCCCAGACUCCUACGGGAGGCAGUAGUGGGGAAUAUCGGACAAUGGGCGGAAGCCUGAUCC
rnacentral:rRNA from 1 species